UACGGAGGGUGCAAGCGUUAUCCGGAUUCACUGGGUUUAAAGGGUGCGUAGGUGGGCAGGUAAGUCAGUGGUGAAAUCUCCGGGCUUAACCCGGAAACUGCCGUUGAUACUAUCUGUCUUGAAUAUCGUGGAGGUUAGCGGAAUAUGUCAUGUAGCGGUGAAAUGCUUAGAUAUGACAUAGAACACCCAUUGCGAAGGCAGCUAACUACACGAUCAUUGACACUGAGGCACGAAAGCGUGGGGAGCAAACAGG
rnacentral:rRNA from 1 species